AGCGGGGUAGAGCAGCCCGGUAGCUCGUCGGGCCCAUAACCCGAAGGUCGCCGGUUCAAAUCCGGCCCCCGCAACCA
rnacentral:tRNA from 1 species